AUGAAAGAGCUCCUGGCAACUUGCAAAAUGAUUGGUGUGAUGCUUUGCUGGGUCGUCAUAGGUACAUCUGCAACAAAGGACAUUUCUACAGCCCAUAGUUGGGUCAGUGCUCCUGUUCACCAGGCAGCUCUGCUCCCCUUGUGCUUUCAUCCUCAAAGCACCUUAUUUAACUUUAUUAGCAUCAAAUGGGAAUUUAUCACCAUCAAUCGGCAUAUUCCCAUUCUUGUGUACAUGUUACACAAGUGCAAGCAAGAUGGAAUCUCCCGCCAUUGGUGGGAAAAGGAAUGUAAAGUUACCAAAGAGAUAGACGAAGCAUAUCAGCAACGGGCCGGUAUCCUCGAGAAUGGCACACUGAGAAUUUUCCCUGCAAGAAUAAAGGAUUCUGGACUAUAUCAAGCAACCGUUCUGAUCUUUGGUGGAAAACACACAGCAAUUGUCAAUCUUACAGUAACUGAAGUUCCUCUUUCCUUCCACCCCUCCCAAUCCAAUGUAGUGGAUAUGCAGGAAAAAGACAACACCAAGAACAAAGGUUUUGGAGCCUUGAGAAGAAUGGCUACUGAGAAUAUGAUUCGAAUGGGCUUGGCCUGCCUCACUCUCUUCUUUCUUGGACUGCUGCUGGUGGAGCAUGUUUGCAAUUUACCUGGUGGUAGCAGUAAUACAAGGAAAAAAGACUGUGGGAGACCCUGAGAGAUUUAUUGCUGUCUUGAGGUGAUAUGUCAGUUGAAGUCCAUCUCUUCCAUUGAUAGAAUGAGAAUAGUUGUGAGACACCAACUGAAAGUAAGGAAAACUCAUGAUGCAUUUGGAAAACUUAUCAUCAAAUCAUUUUGCAGGACUACUGUGUAAUUGACUACAGGUACACAAACAUAGGAUGUGAUCUAGGGAUUUCUUUGAAAUCUUAUGAAUGUGAAUACAGGCAGUCCCAAGUUAUGAAAAGAUAGAUUCUGAAGAUUUGUUCAUAAAUUGAAUUUGUAUGUAAGUUGGAACAGGUAGAUUUUUAAAUGUAACUCCAGCCAUAUAUACUUUGAAUAGCAUGGAGAAGGGUUAACAACCCUAUGACAUUUGUUUUGCUGUCUGUGUUCCAGUUCACAAUAUUUCACCUCACUUCCUGUCUGUGAUAAUUGGAUUCUGAACAUUUUGUCUUGUUGUAGAAACAAGCAAUGGUGAUAACGGUUCAGUGGAGACAGCUUUUCCCCACGAGAACUUCUUGAAUUGGGUUC
rnacentral:lncRNA from 1 species